rnacentral:rRNA from 1 species
UACAGAGGUCCCGAGCGUUGUUCGGAUUCAUUGGGCGUAAAGGGUGCGUAGGCGGCGGGGCAAGUCUGAUGUGAAAUCCUGGGGCUCAACCCUGGAACUGCAUUGGAUACUGCCUUGCUAGAGAACUGGAGAGGAGACUGGAAUUUACGGUGUAGCAGUGAAAUGCGUAGAGAUCGUAAGGAAGACCAGUGGCGAAGGCGAGUCUCUGGACAGUUACUGACGCUGAGGCACGAAGGCCAGGGGAGCAAACGGG